GGGAGAUGUGGUAAAUGCCAGCACAUGAACCAACUGCGGCGCCCAAUGAGACAGCCCAAGCCACAAGACGACAUGAGAUGCGGCAAAGCCUUUGACUUAAAGAAAGUGUCAGCGCUCCAGUGCUCGCUUCUGACAAGCUUUUGCAUUGGUUAUAUUGAAAUCCCAGAUGCAAAGAAGUUUGGCGGCAUUUCCAGAGUACAUCUGUGGACUGGAAAAGUUGUUGAGGAAGGACUUUGCCAUGCUGCAGUCACAAUUAAACAUGCAAGAGCAGUUGUAUGGAAAGAGGGAAAGGGGGGGGGAAUAGAUGAGAGAAAUAAUCAUUUCUAUAUAUAGCAACCCAUUCUCCCACAUUUCCCAGUGCCAGCAAUUGUCUUAGCAUGCUGUGUAUAGGUGAACAGUGCUAAGUUUAUUUAGAAUUGUCCCAAUCUCUUCAAUGGGGUUUACUCUCAGGUGUAAAGUUCCUUAUUUGAUGGAACAAAACAGAAGAAAUCUUUAAAAAUCACUGUACCUGUAGAGCAAGCUUAAGAAGCACACAAUGAAAUAAAUUCCAAUGGUGAAUAUA